GACAGAGGUGCCAAGCGUUAGGCGGAAUCACUGGGCUUAAAGCGUGUGUAGGCGGAAUUGUAAGUACCUUGUGAAAUCCCACGGCUCAACUGUGGAACUGCUUGGUAUACUGCCGGUCUUGAGCCAGCUAGGGGCUACCGGAACAAAUGGUGGAGCGGUGAAAUGCGUAGAUAUCAUUUGGAACGCCAAUGGUGAAAACAGGUAGCUGGGGCUGUGCUGACGCUGAGACACGAAAGCCAGGGGAGCAAACGGG
rnacentral:rRNA from 1 species